CCAGCUUUGAGCCAAUUCCCAGGGCCAGAGCUGACCUUUGUGGGGUGACCUGAGUCUCUUGUUUUUUCUUAGAACCAGGCAGGGGGAGGCAGCCUCAUCCAAACUUCAAAGCUGGAAGAGGAAUGGGGAAGUCCCCCAGGGCAGGGAACAUGAAGGGCUACUUCUAGCAGGAGGAGGAGGAGUUGCUAGGUAGACUGAAGACAAACAGCUCUGGACACAUUGUGUGUAGGGCAGGGCUACACUGGGGGCUGGGCUCUCCAUGCUGCACCCCAGCUCUGUCUGUUGCCUAGCAACUCGAGUUGGCGCCACCACAAAGUGUAAACAUGGACCAAAGGAGAAGCCCUUUGGAGAAGAAGACGCCAAAGGGAAAGGGAAAAGUUCAGAAGGGCAGAAAGCAUUCAACUCUGCAACACUGUCAUCAUAUUCCACUUAUCAAAAAGUGAAUCCUGAGGACUGAAAUAAUUUGCAGAUGUGGUGGAGGAGCCGUUGCCAGCAACUCUGAGACCUGGGAAGAGGCUGGAGACUCCAGGCAGCCAAGGGAGAGGCUUCCUAAAGUCGAUGCGAGAGCCUGGCAGGCUGACUGGUGGAAUAAGCUCAGGCCCAGUGGAGGUGACAGGAAGUCUCAAUGGACAGCCCUUUCCGGAUGGGAGGCCCACCCAGGAGACAGGGCCAAGUCCCCAGAGCUCCUGUCAGAAUGGGAGGCACUGCUGCAGCUGGGAGAGGGAAGACCUGUGUGUCCACUGAUUGUCACAGAGAUUGGCCUGAGGCUGACCAAGCGGCCACACCUGGCUCAGAGAGCCUUGUACACGGGAGCAGCAGCAGGAGAGCCAGGUUACAGAGGGCCUUGUAAGCCUCAGUGAGCAUUUCGGUCUUGAACCCUGUGAACUCAGAAGUUACUGCACGGCUGACUCAGGAGACCACAGGAAAUGGCUUCUCUGGGGGCACAGAGCAUCAUAUCAGAAGUUGUGGGCAUUAGCAUAUCAGAGCCAACAGAUAUUCCUGGUUUCCAGGUGUGGAGUGGAAAUUCUGCCUUUAGGACACCAGCUGGCUGGUGUGGUGGUGCACACCUAUAAUCCCAGCACUAGGGAAGAUGAGCCAGGAGGAUCACAUGUUCAAGCCUGGCCUGGGUAAUUUAGCAAGACUAUCUCAAAAAAUGAAAAAAGGGCUGGAUGUAGCUCAGCGCAAAGACUCUGGGUUCAAUCUGCAAUACCACACAUACACAGAAGCCAAAAACCAAAAAAUGCUUUAUUUACAAAAGUCAGUCUAGCUGGGUUUGGUCUGUGGACCUGUUUGCUGAUCUCUAACAUAGAAAGAAUAUAUUAGGAACAUAUAAGGACUUGUAUCAGGAUGUCUAUUGCAUUAUUGUAGUUUGAAGAGGAAAAAAAGCCAAAGACCUGAUACAACCUACACAUCCACCAUUAGUUUAUGAGUUCAGUGUGAUGGUUGAGAAAUCCUGGCAAGUUUAUUCUACAGAUUUAAAGCAAAUGUUCAAGGGAACCAGUGAAUUAUGGGCCUCCUGACUUGGACGAGCAUCUAUAAGGUAUUAGGUGUACACAGCAGUCUGCAGAACAACACAACCGACCUGCACACCUGUCCACGCUGUGGCUCCGUAGGGCCCUGCUGUCACAGAAGGCCCUCCUCCGUCCCUCUGAUGCUGAGCCGGGCCAUGAGGCUCGCUGUGACUGUGGAGUGUUAGCAGGUGUGAGCAGAGCCCAUCCCUGUGCCUGCAUAGUCGCUGCUUGCGUUUUGGCAUUUGGGUGCUGAAGACAGAACACAGAGCCUUGAGCAGGCUAAGCCCAUCCCUCUACCACCAGAGCUCUGCCUCCAGUCCUGCCGUACAUGGUUCCCCGUGGUUUCUGUGCUCCCAGGGGCACCUCUCGAAGAACAUACCCUGAGUGGCCACUAGAGCAAGGUUGACAAGGAGCAGGCGAGGCAAGCCCAGCCCAGGCACCGCAGCCUGAAGCAGAACUGCCCAGCCUGCACCUGCAGAGCCAGGAGCUUAAGAGAAAAGGCUUUGGCCGGGCAUGGUGACGCAUGCCUGGAAUCCCAGCACUCGGAAGGCUGUGGCAGGAGGACCAACUUGAAUUCAAGGCCAGCCUGAUCUACACAGCAAGACCCUGUCCCCCUACAAAAACAAAUAAACAAAAAAGAAUAAAAGCUUAGGUCCAUGUUUUGCUGCUAUAACAAAAUACCAGAGGGGCCGGGGAUUUAGCUCAGUGGUUUCACCGCCUGCUGCGCAAGCACAAGGACCCAAGAUCGAUCCCUGGUACCAAAAAAAAAAACCCAACAAAAUACCAGAGGCUGGGUAAUUCAUAAAGAAAAUAAAUUGUGGGCCAGGUGUGGUAGGGUACCCCUGUAAUCCAGAACUUGAGAGGCUGAGACAGUAGGAUCCCUAUGAAUUUGAGACCAGCCUGGGCUACAUAGGGAGUUCAGAGCCAGCCUGAACUACG
rnacentral:lncRNA from 1 species